CCCUCCGCCUGCGACGAUAUGAACAGAUCGAGUAUCGCGGUACUGGUGGAUGAUCGGGUC
rnacentral:sRNA from 1 species